rnacentral:rRNA from 1 species
GGACGACGCUGGCGGCGUGCCUAACACAUGCAAGUCGAGCGAGGAGAUUCCUUCGGGAUGAUCCUAGCGGCGGACGGGUGAGUAACACGUGGGCAACCUGCCUCAUAGAGAGGAAUAGCCUUCCGAAAGGGAGUAUUAAUACCUCAUAACAUUGCAGUUUCGCAUGGAACAGCAAUUAAAGGAGUAAUCCGCUAUGAGAUGGGCCCGCGGCGCAUUAGCUAGGUUGGUGAGGUAACGGCUCACCAAAGGCGACGAUGCGUAGCCGACCUGAGAGGGUGAUCGGCCACAUUGGGACUGAGACACGGCCCAGACUCCUACGGGAGGCAGCAGUGGGGAAUAUUGCACAAUGGGGGAAACCCUGAUGCAGCAACGCCGCGUGAGUGAUGACGGCCUUCGGGUUGUAAAGCUCUGUCUUCAGGGACGAUAAUGACGGUACCUGAGGAGGAAGCCACGGCUAACUACGUGCCAGCCGCCGC